AUGUCAGUUUAAUGGUAUCAGAGGAAAAGAGAGCAGUGUUUCCCUGUUUCGGUGGAGCACUGCACUUAUAAAUCCCGAAGAAUGGCUCUGCUUGGCUGAGCUUGGCCAUGAUCACCUGUAGUUUCUCGAGGUGCCAUGAUUGAGAUCGGAGCCACCUGCCUGGAGGAAGGACAGGCUGUUUUCCACAGGGGCGGGAUGUUCUUACCAGAAGGACAGAAGGCAGUUGAGUGACCAGGAUGACAGAUGCUGCCAUGCAAGGGUUGUGGGUGCACCUGGGUUGGCACCGUGUCUGAUCCAGGAGGAUUACAGGAUGAGCUUAUCAUGGAACAUAAGAAAAAUAAAACAGAUGUCAGCCUGUGUAUGAAGAAUUCAUCCACAAGAUUUGAGCAGACCGAAGACCGUGAGACUUCCUACCCACAGUGAGCUAAAAGGACGCUUUUGUCAGAGUGGGGAAAUAAAAGGGCUUUAUGGGAAGGAAGAUAAGAACAGAUGAGUCAGAGGUUUCUGCUUAAUGCUCACUCUUCAAUUCUUUCUCAAGCAAAACCAAGAAUCUUCUUGGGCUAAGCCCCAAUUUGGGGUUCACCUGCCUUGCAGCAACAUGGCACCAAACAUGGGGCAGAAGAGAGAAAACGACAGCAUGAGAGACGGAGAAAGAAAUGGCAGUUGGCAAGGUGGUAAUGAGAGACAGCAGUUGGCAAGACAGUGAGAGACAGUAAGAGAUGGCAAGUGACAGUUAUUGUUAAGAUGACACAUGGAGAGAUGGCAAGAAAUAGAGAAGCAGUCAGUGAUGGAGGCUGCAAGAGUUGUAACACUAACCAAAGGCUCUUUUUAGAGCCAUCAUUUUUCCUGGCAGGUGGUACAGCCAAGCAGACAGGCAAGUGGCCAUACUGCUGCUGCCUCAUGUAGGAUCCGGCAGGCUGGUGG
rnacentral:lncRNA from 1 species